rnacentral:rRNA from 1 species
AACGUAGGAGACAAACGUUAUCCGGAGUUACUGGGCGUAAAGGGCGUGUAGGUGGUUUUGUAAGUCUGGCGUGAAAUUUUUCGGCUUAACCGGGCGAGGUCGGCGGAAACUGUCCGACUCGAGGACGGUAGAGGGGGGUGGAAUUCCCGGUGUAGUGGUGAAAUGCGUAGAGAUCGGGAGGAACACCUGUGGCGAAGGCGGCCCCCUGGGCCGGCCCUGACACUGAGACGCGAAGGCGUGGGGAGCGAACGGG